rnacentral:rRNA from 1 species
GACGAAGGUGGCUAGCGUUGUUCGGAAUCACUGGGCUUAAAGCGUGUGUAGGCGGUCUGUUAAGCGUCUUGUGAAAGCCCUCGGCUCAACCGAGGAAUUGCUGGGCGAACUGGCAGACUUGAGGCAGGUAGGGGCGCGUGGAACUCUUGGUGGAGCGGUGGAAUGCGUAGAUAUCAAGAGGAACGCCGGUGGCGAAAGCGGCGCGCUGGGCCUGUCCUGACGCUGAGAUACGAAAGCCAGGGGAGCAAACGGG